AGUGAACGCUGGCGGUAGGCCUAACACAUGCAAGUCGAACGGCAGCACAGUAAGAGCUUGCUCUUACGGGUGGCGAGUGGCGGACGGGUGAGGAAUACAUCGGAAUCUACUUUUUCGUGGGGGAUAACGUAGGGAAACUUACGCUAAUACCGCAUACGACCUACGGGUGAAAGCAGGGGAUCUUCGGACCUUGCGCGAUUGAAUGAGCCGAUGUCGGAUUAGCUAGUUGGCGGGGUAAAGGCCCACCAAGGCGACGAUCCGUAGCUGGUCUGAGAGGAUGAUCAGCCACACUGGAACUGAGACACGGUCCAGACUCCUACGGGAGGCAGCAGUGGGGAAUAUUGGACAAUGGGCGCAAGCCUGAUCCAGCCAUACCGCGUGGGUGAAGAAGGCCUUCGGGUUGUAAAGCCCUUUUGUUGGGAAAGAAAAGCAGCAGGUUAAUACCCCGCUGUUCGGACGGUACCCAAAGAAUAAGCGCCGGCUAACUGCGU
rnacentral:rRNA from 1 species